rnacentral:sRNA from 2 species
GUUUGCACUUGUCGGGGAAGGGUGAGAACCUUCGAUUAAGGUUCGACCCGAGCGAAAGCGAGAGAACGUUGCCAACGGCAACGGCCCGUAGGUUGAGGAGCGAAGCGACGAAUAAUCCUUCCCCCACCACCA